GCCUAGAGCUCUCAGACUCCGCUACAUCCUCGGGACCCGGUUGCCGACUGAGACGUCGCAUUGGACAGACGAGACAGGAGAGCGGGCGCGGGCUGGAAGGAGAAAAGGAAGAAUAAACGCGACGUAAAGCGAGUCACAGGCCCGUCUCCUCCACGGGCGGGAUCCGCCCCAGGAAAGCCCCGCACGGAGCAAGCCCGAGCCAUCGCUCACCGCCAGCCCCACAGGAUCGCGCGGCUCAUCCCGGACCACCACCGCCACCCGUCACGUCCGGUGCAAUGGCGAAGUCUGAUGCGCUUAGUAAUGUGCGACUUGCUGUGUACUGAGCAUGCUCAGUACAGCUGCCGAAGCCACUGCCCGUAUUAGCCGUAGGGUGCUGCGGGUUGCUUUUGCGAGUCAUAGUCUCUCGGGGGGCCUGGGCUCCAGGACUAUUCAGGGCUGCGGGCCCUGCGCCACCAAUAUUUGGAGCUGGGUCUCUCCCCAGCCCUGCCUGGAGCGGGCCGUGUUCCCGGAGAGGCCCUGCCUGGGUGAAAGCAGCGCCCGGCUCUCCCUGGCCUGUUGCCUGGCUGGGCUGCUGGCGGCACAAGAGCCACUUGGCCGGCUGAGGCGGCGCGGGAGCGGGAGGAAGCACACAUGCUUUGCAGCCCGCCCCUCCCGCGCCCAUGGGAGGAGACGCCAAGGGGGCUUCCGGCCAAGAGACAUUUGGAGUGGACCUCACUCACCUGAGCAGCUGCUGGGGCUUCGAAUCAUGGAGCUUGCAUAGCUCUGCACUAUUGUCAUGAGCCUUUCAACCCAAAGGUGCAUAGUCCUUUACUAUUUGCAGAUCAUCAAAUGUACAUGUACAUAUACUCUACAUUCUUUAUGAAAAUAUGCUUAUGAUAUGGAUAUGACAUAGCUAAUAUAUACUUUAUGCAAGGUGGCUGAUGUGGGGUAUCAUUGCAAAACUUAAGACCUAUUGACUGUAUUUAUCCAAUCUGUAUGCAUGUAAUGUUUGUAUCGGAGGCUAGAAAUAUUGACCAUUUCUCUGUAUUUCAAAUGUGCUCUGUUUAAUGAGGCCAGACAAUAUUAGUGGCUUAUUGAAGGAAUGCACAAACACAUAAAGAUUACCCCAGGAACUGUGUCUCUGAACGAUAGUGCUAUACAAUGGGGACUACU